GGGUAGGGUUAGGUUUGGGGUAGGGUUAGGGUAGGUUUAGAGGUAGGGUUAGGGGUAGGGUAAACCUACCCUAACCCUACCCCAAACCC